rnacentral:lncRNA from 1 species
AAAUUUCAGCAGAUGAGUUUAUUAUGAAAUUCAAGAAAAAUACUGUAUGAAAUAAUCCAACGUGAUUAUUUAUAUUUUUGAAUUUUAUACUAGAUGCUACAGUACUGUACUGUAAAAUAUCGUACUAUACCGUACAACACAAUAUGAUACAAUAUGAUAAAUUAUUUGUUAAGAUACAAAAUGAAACUAUAAUAUGUUUUGUUACGAUAUGAUACUAUACGUUACGCUAAGAUAUGAUAUGAAAUAAUACGAAAUGAUAUGAUACGAUUCUAAACUACGUAAUAUCGUAAGAUACGAAAUGAUAUAAAACAUACAAUACAAAAUGAUGCGAUACUUUACAAUACGAUACAACACAAUAUAAUACAAUAGGUAGGGAAAUGAUAUGAUACAAUGUAAAUUGAUCUGAUAUAAUUCACUCGAUUGUUUCCAUGGUUACAUCUAUCUUGGUUGCUCAAAAGUGAUCAAAAAGUUACAUUUCACAUAAAUUUUUUGUCCAAAAAAUUUUGGUCACAUUAAAUGACAUAAAUAUUGAAAAAUCAGGCCUACUUGUUAUAGGCUAUCUAAAAAAUAUAUCUUAAUUAAAAUAAAGAAAUCAGGAGUUUUUUUCUUUUAUCUUAUACAUUUCCUUCCUGACAGACCGUAGGACACACUUUUCUAUCACAUUCUAAUGAUUCAGCCUGAAUACGAGGUCAGCUUUAAAUUACUUGAGGUUUUACAUGUCUUCUUGAUGUCCAUUUUUCACGCCCCCAAAAGUACCAAACUCAAACUUCCUGAUUUUAUAUUAAAGCUUCCCUAGAGCUAAAGAAAAAGGACACUUUUAAUGGUUUCGGAGAAGUGCUUGAAGUGUUUCCUUUAGUGUUUACGACUGUUUAGUCAACCUUGCCAAAUGGCUUCUGAAGUUUUUAAUGUCGCUCAUUCAAUUAAAGUUGGAGUGAGAGCUGAACCUGAGGGGGCAAUAAGUCACAUAUUGUUAUUAUCCUGCCCUGCUAAUUACUGAAGCAAUGAACUUUAAUUAAUAUCUGAGCUUCAUGUCUGCGUGUGUGUGUUUAAGCAUGCAAAUGUGUGUGUGUGUGGGCAUCUCUCCUUUAUCUCAAGCCAUCUCUCUUCGACACACGUACAAACACACACUUAUACACACGCCAGGCGGAGGCUGACAUUUCAGAGAGUGUCUUAGUUCAGGUGAAGAACGCUGACACCGUGAACCCGCCAAGGCUAGCUGCGCGGUUAGCAUUAGCAUAAUUAUCUUAGUCAUCAGAGGCACCAGAGACCGGUUCCAACAACAGAAACAACAACAUCACACACAGAUUCAUGGACUCUGCUUCCAGAAAGUCUUACGUUUGAAUCAAAAUAGUGCAGACAGCCUCUCAUAUGUAAAAAUGACUGAAUGAUUACGUUCAUUUGGAACACAAUGGCCCUAAAAUGACAAAGAUUUGGGGGUUGUGGUAUCUGGAGUACAGCACCAACAUACAACGUGUUCAAGGGAUAGCCUGAGAUAAGAAAAUGGUGAAGUGUGGGCAUUGGGCUUCUUUUAUGGUACCUGGUCCAAAUAUCCUCGCUGUUGGAGGUUUGCAGGUCACAGGUCAGAUAGGCGUAAAGCAGAUGGUAAAGCAGAUGGUAGAAAAUUUUACUUAAAGAUAAACAGAGGAUGUAAGAGGACCUGAAACCUCUAACCCUACAUAACAAGAUCACAAACUCAGGUUUGGGAGAGCUGGACAUCAUUGGCAGUCGUCUCCCAGCAACUGCAGUGCUGUUCUGAUACUGGUGUUGUCUUUGUAAUAAAUUCCUAUUAUACAAGCAAGCCAGUGUCAUGAAGCCUCGUUCUGCAUCUACACAUCGCGCACGAGAUACAACAGGGUAUAUUAUCUACUGUGUGAGAUAUCAUUCACUAGAUGGACAGAUCUGUGGGCCUUACCCCCAAUUUCCACUGCAUCUGGAACGGCUAUGAAAAAGCCGUAUCCGCCGAUCGUAGCUGAUCGUAACCAAUCAAGUUAAUGUGUCCAUUUCCACCGGCUUCUUUCCGUUCUAUUUUUUCUGGACGCUGGAGCAUGCCGGAUAAAUUCAGCACAGAGUAACCCGUGCUGGAAAGGAAGUCGGCCACAGUCACAAAAUAAAACACCCGGCUUCUUUUCAAAAUAAAACACUCCAUGUUUCUGGCGAAUUAUACUUCACACCAUGCAAACAGGCGGGGACGAACAAGUAAAAAGGUUUAUGGACGUCAUUUCACCCUGAUGACACCAUGGAUUAGAGAAGGGGUGGGCGAUUAAUUUUUAGAUGGGGUCACAUGAGAAACCUGAACUGUGUUGGAGGGCUGAACCAACAGAAAAGCAACCCCAAGUAAGCAACUACUAGUCAAAAACAAGCCCAAAGAUAAGAUAAGAUAAGUGGACUUGGCAACUAUAAAGCGUCUACGUAUAUUUUGCCAAUGUUAAAACUUGUCUCUGUUCACAAGUGCGUCCAAACUGAAAUAAAACAACGGCAAGUUUUUCAAAA